rnacentral:tRNA from 1 species
GCCCCAUUGGCGCAGUCGGUUAGCGCGUCGUACUUAUAAGUGCUUGAGAAAUGCGAAGGUCAGCAGUUCGAGCCUGCUAUGGGGCA